UAGGGAAUUUUCGUCAAUGGGGGGCGAACCCUGAACGAGCAAUGCCGCGUGAGCGAAGAAGGUCUUCGGAUUGUAAAGCUCUGUUGCCGGGGAAAAAGGAAGGAAAGAGGAAAUGCUUUUCUUUGGAUGGUACCCGGCCAGAAAGUCACGGCUAACUACGUGCCAGCAGCCCGCGGUAAUCUGUAUCU
rnacentral:rRNA from 1 species